UGAAUUGUACUUUUAAAAGCUGUCUUACUUACUUUCUACUUUAUUGUGCAUUUGGUGUUUUACCUGCACAUAUGUCUCUUGUGAGGGCGUCAGGUCCCCUGGAACUGGAGUUACAGACACUUGGGAGCUACUAGUUUUUCCGUGAAAACACCUCACACUAAAACAUGGCGAUAGCACUGAUCCUGAGAUACUGCUAAGGUAAAUGAGCCUCACUGGGCUGUUUGGAUUUUUCUGAACAUAAAAGAAGGAGAUGGGAGGUUACCUGGCACCCUAAAAAGAAGCCUGCCACUGGGAGAGAAAUGUCACCUUCAAUCUGCGGACUACUCCAGCCCACACUGAUACUUGAAGAGGAAUGACCCAAGUUGGCAAAGAACAGGAGUGUGGAACACAGAGGGAUGGUCCAGACUGAGCCCACGUGCAGCUUCAGAUGCCUGGGUGGUCCUGGACCGGCUGCGCAUGCUCAUUAGAAGUCUGUGUAAGGAGGGCUGGAGCCGACUGCGAGGGGCAAAUGUGAACACCUCCCGUCAUUGUGUGUCACCCGAACCAGACCCUUGAGGAAACACCGUGAAGGAGGAAGGAUUACUCUUUGCCUCACGGCUUCUGAGAGCUUGUUUUUUGCUUGCUUGGCCCCGUCUGCCUGGACAAAAAGCCACACACUUGUGUGUGAUGGAGGAGAGGCCGAUUCAAUUCGUGUUGCACAAGAAGCCGAGAGAACUAGAAGCAGGGACCCAAUAACCUGCUUCCCCCAGCGAGGCUCCACCUCCUAAAGUGUCCCGGACGUCUCCAAAUGGUGCCACUUUUAUCAAACUUGAGGUCACAGUCUGUACACUUAGAAGUCAAAUUUGGCCACUUGUCCUGGAGAAGUCAAUUGAAAUAAAUCAGUAGUAAAAAGACCAAAAAAGGAGAUUCAUUCAAUAUGGCUGCAUUUGGAAGAAGGAAGAAGGACAAGAAAUCCAGUGACCUCCCUCCAGUCCAUCUUCAGCUUCCCAAAGUGGCAUUAAAGUUUAAACAGAAAUAAGCAUAAUUAAGAAUUCCUGGUCAAAGAGUGGUCCUGCCCACCACUGACCCAUCCGCCAUUGUCUGGACUUCCGGCUCACCUUACAAGGUGACGUGACAAGUUUUUGGAACUGUGUGCAGUCUCUUUCCUGGGAAGUUUUCCCUCUGGCUGGCACCAGGCUUCAGCCUUUUCCUUCCCAACACUGGCUUCCUAGGGGGAAUUCCAGCUCAUUCCAGCUCCGCAGAGCCCAUUGUUUCCAAGUCUGAAAGUCAGAUUAAGGGGCAUAGGUGUCGCCUUAGAACGUGCUGGUUUCUGCCGGGCCAGUUACAACACAUCAGUCACAUGAGCCCACGAGGGACGUUUCAGCUGGGGAGUAGAGCCAGACCUUCGUGCAUGCUGGACCAGUGAUCUACCCAUGAGCGACUUCCGAAGUCCUGAUGCUUCACAUGGGGGUAAAGCAGAAAAUUCUUCGGUUUUUUUCCAAAUCAAUAAAGGAAUGAAUCUAGGAAUGACCUGAUGCAGCUCUUUAGAGGCCUGGAAGGUCGCCUGCACAAAUCACUCCAGCUAGCCGCUGAGUCCUAAUGACAGCCCCAUUAAUGUGGCCCCCCUCUGUGGGAGUUUACUUUCUGGGCUCAGUGUGUUUUACUGCAGGUUGUUAAGAGCCCUUGUGUGCAGAGGUGCCUCAGAGCCCUAAGGCUUCCUGUGUACCCUGAGAGCAGCACCAGCCCAGUGCUCCUGGAGAGCGCUCCAGCUUUAUAGGAGGCUGAAGGAGGGAUGGAAAGAAACCCUCAUGGGGGGGGGGGGAUUUAAGAUCAGGCAUCUGCUCGCCUGCCUUGACUCUGUGAGAAGGCACCCAGGCAUGGAGACAGAUGUGGUCUUCCCAACCGCCUGCUCCAAACUACAGCCCCAGCAGAGCCACUGUGAUUCUGGAAGGAUCCCCGUUCUAGAAAGAGAAAAGAGAACCCACCCCACCCCCUGCUGUCUGAACAAAAAAAAAAAAAUCUAGGGUUAGGUCCCUGUUUGUGGUGACAAUCAGACAGAUUGUCCUAUCUGUACAAACAUGUUGUGUUUACAGGAAGCUUGUUUGAAAUCUCGUCCAAGUCAAGCAUCUAAGGAGAGGUCAUGAUCUCACUGUGCCAGACAGGCAGCAAUCACAGGUCUACAAAAGCUGAGAAAGUUCUAGCACUGGGCAGCUUUCCAGCUCCGGCCCUUGUCACAUCAUCCACCUGUAAAGCCAGCCCUGAAACCUGUGCUGCCCAGAAGCGGGAACUGUCUCCCAACCAGAGGAUAACCCCAGAUGGAAGUGCGGUGGGGUACCGAGACUAAACUCCUCAUUGCAUGGGUGUGCGGUCCAGCAGAGAGCCCUGGAGGGGCCAAAACCGAUGUCACAGGGGGUCUGCCACAAGAGCUGGCCCGGCCGGGGCUAGGGAAUUUCUAGUCCUAAAAUAAUCAGAUGGGGCCUGCUCUCCUGGCCAGAAGGAGUAGGCCUAAGGAAAGAGUGAAUUUUUCAUCACAAGGAAAGAAGGAUGCCCCAGAGUUUCACCAGCUCAGAACCAGCCCCCUGAGGAGGCUCACCCACGGUUGGAGAAGCCAAUUCCUCCCACCCUGACUAUACACCCUCAGACAAGGUUCUCCCUCCCCACCGGAGAGCUCUUGUUACUAUGGGACUCCACAAUAGCCACGCACUAUCCACACAGCCAUUCCUCUGGUGAGUGGCAAGACUUCAGCGUCUGCCGAAUGGUAGUGGCUCUUCAAUAAA